rnacentral:rRNA from 1 species
UACGGAGGGUGCAAGCGUUAUCCGGAUUCACUGGGUUUAAAGGGUGCGUAGGUGGGUUGGUAAGUCAGUGGUGAAAUCCCCCGAGCUUAACUUGGGAACUGCCAUUGAUACUAUCAGUCUUGAAUACCGUGGAGGUUAGCGGAAUAUGUCAUGUAGCGGUGAAAAUGCUUAGAUAUGACAUAGAACACCAAUUGCGAAGGCAGCUGGCUACACGAAUAUUGACAC